AACGCGAAGAACCUUACCCAGGCUUGAACAGCGAGUGACCACUUCCGAAAGGGAGCUUCCGCAAGGACACUCGUAGAGGUGCUGCAUGGCUGUCGUCAGCUCGUGUCGUGAGAUGUUGGGUUAAGUCCCGCAACGAGCGCAACCCUUGUCUUCUGUUGCCAUCAGGUUAUGCUGGGCACUCUGGAGAGACUGCCGGUGAUAAACCGGAGGAAGGUGGGGAUGACGUCAAGUCAGCAUGGCCUUUAUGUCUGGGGCUACACACGUGCUACAAUGGCCGGCACAAACCGUCGCGAGCCCGCGAGGGGGAGCUAAUCGGAGAAAGUCGGUCUCAGUUCGGAUCGUAGGCUGCAACUCGCCUGCGUGAAGUUGGAAUCGCUAGUAAUCGCGGAUCAGCACGCCGCGGUGAAUACGUUCCCGGGCCUUGUACACACCGGCUAC
rnacentral:rRNA from 1 species